ACUUACGGCCGUUUUCAAUAACGUAUCUGAGUUUUCGGAUAGAUAGCUAUCUCCGAAUAUCAGCAAGAGCGUAUCUAUCCUUAGUUUGCGUUUCACAAUCACGGAUAAGUGCUAUCUCUCUUUAACCAACAGUAGAUAGCUUCUUCCCUCCGAUUUAUCCGAGCCUCUUGAUACGUUUCGUUCUACUACAAAUACGAAACAACAUCAGGAUCAAGACUUAUUUUAUUUUAUUCUAAAUUAUAACUAUAAUUUAACCAGCAUAUUGUAGACUAUCAUAAACACAUUUGUUUAUAACAAAAAGUAAUAAAAACAUAUGUAGAUUUUUUUAAAUUGGACGUAUUGCUAUUUUUAUCCUAGUCGAAAUUAUGAAACGAAACGUUUUGACAGUCCGUUUGCCAAUAAGCAGUGAUCAGUUUCUUUUGUUUGUUUUUCUAUUGUUUACCUACUAUAUUAGAUAAUGACUUACCUCCAAAACGCUUUAAAACUUUCGUUUAUAAUUCUAAGUGUGUUUAUAAUUAAAGAGCUACAGUGAAAUAAAAUGAAUUCUUCAAGAAAGGCAGCACCCAUGACAAAAGAUGAGACGAUGAUUCUAGCAGAACUUGUGGCGGCGAAAAAACAUUUCAAUAAUAAGGCAACAAAUGCCACAAACAAUAAAUUGAAGGAACAGGCUUGGCAAACCCUUGUAAAUGAUUUUAAUUCGUCGAUUCGUCGUUUCCCACGAACUCCAUCGCAGCUUCGACUAAAAUGGGAAAACUUAAAGAACGCUACGGCAACAUAAGAAACAACCUUAGUAAGGUUAGUAUAAUUAGUUGAUUGUUUGUCUCUAAUAACACAUUGAUAAACAUGAUUUUUUCUUCAGGUUGCCGUAGUAUUUGAAAUAAUUAUGCUCUUUGUUACAGGCUGGAGGUGCCAAGCGGAAACAAGAUGGAAGAAAAGAAAUGCAAGGCUAGCAUAGGGACAAUGCAUUAGCAGAAUAUCUAAUAGCAAAAAAGAGACUUGACUUGGAAAAUAAAGAAAAGGAGAUUGUUGUAGCAAAAGUUAAGUUAGAUUUAGAUAAUUAAAAAAAUUAAAAAUUACUUAAAAGGAAUAUUAAAUUUCAUAAAUUAAGUAGGCAAUAAUAAUUUUAUGUUAGAUAGUUUUUUAAGUAUAUGUACAAAUUCUAAAUUAAAUAUCUUGCAUGUACUAACUACCAUGUAAUUAUCAUUUUGGAAAAUAAAAAAUAGUCAAAUUA